UGCCUGUUGACCGCAGGUGACCAGUUACCACUACCCUGCCUUUGUUUUCCUGUUUCUCCAAACUCAGAUCCCCCUGGACCUGUGUGAAGUGUUCAGCCUUUCAUCACUAGAAAGCUCUAUCCUGUUCUUGAUAAGACGCCCCAUGCCCCAAGGAGAGGAAAUACCGCCCAGGGUUGGGUUCUGAAAAUAAGCAAUCAGAGAAACUGUCCACAAGGAGAAAAAUUGAUGUGAUGGCAGAGACCAACAUGGCAGAGCUGCUGGAAUCCACCCCAAUCUUCUCACAAGUGACAAGGACAGUUUCUCCAGGCUCCUGCCUUGAGCUCUUGUACUGGAUCCCCUGGAUGAUGGAGUGCAACCUAUAAGCCGAAUAAAGCCUUUCCACCCACGUGGUUCCUGGAAA